rnacentral:rRNA from 1 species
CAGCAGCCACGGUAACACGUAGGUGGCAAGCGUUGUCCGGAAUUGUUGGGCGUAAAGCGCGCGCAGGCGGCCUAUCCAGUCUGUCUUAAAAGUUCGGGGCUCAACCCCGUGAUGGGAUGGAAACUAGUAGGCUAGAGUAUCGGAGAGGAAAGCGGAAUUCCUAGUGUAGCGGUGAAAUGCGUAGAUAUUAGGAAGAACACCAGUGGCGAAGGCGGCUUUCUGGACGAAAACUGACGCUGAGGCGCGAAAGCCAGGGGAGCGAACGGGAUUAGAUACCCCAGUAGUCCCUGUCUCUUAUACA